rnacentral:rRNA from 1 species
CACGUAGGGUGCGAGCGUUGUCCGGAAUUAUUGGGCGUAAAGAGCUCGUAGGCGGUGUGUCGCGUCGGCCGUGAAAACCUGCAGCUUAACUGUGGGCUUGCGGUCGAUACGGGCAUCACUGGAGUUCGGCAGGGGAGACUGGAAUUCCUGAUGUAGCGGUGAAAUGCGCAGAUAUCAGGAGGAACACCGGUGGCGAAGGCGGGUCUCUGGGCCGUAACUGACGCUGAGGAGCGAAAGCGUGGGGAGCGAACAGG